rfam:Legionella quinlivanii strain CDC#1442-ATS-E Lqui_ctg010, whole genome shotgun sequence.
GUAUUCUUCUGUCCCUUUCCGGCAGAGCAAAGUAAACAUACGGAGAAAUUAAUGGCUCGUAUUGCAGGUGUAAAUAUACCAGAU